UUGUUCUUAGCUUAAUUGGUAACGCGGAUCAGUACCGUUGAUCAGUUGUGGGUUCAAAUCACACCUGUACCAA
rnacentral:tRNA from 1 species